AUAGCUUUAAGGAUGUACUUUGACAUCCAGUCCACAGCUCUAUUCCCAUCCCUAUAUGUAUGAGUAUACCUCAACUGUCACUCCCUUCUUCUAAAUGCCUCUAUGCUUCUAACAAGCAUAUUUGGGUGUUUUUCAUUUCUCUCCCCUUGCUGAAUAACUUCCACCAAAGGUUGAGAGUUCAAAUCCAAGAUCACUUUCCUAAAACCCAGGUCCUAGACUGUUUGCAAUUUUUGAAGAGCACCCCAUAAUUCUGCUUGAAAUGCUGUGCAUGUCCUAAUAUUCAUCACAAAAUCCGUCAUCCAUCUUCCCUAUUCAUCUCUGCACACUCCGCUGCAUCCCGCCUCUCCAUCCAUCCCCUCUAAUGCUCCAUUUACAUUAACCUUUAUCCAGCUUGGCGGCGGUGGAAUCCAAGAUAUAUUCACAUCCAUCCUUCUGUUUCGAAAAUUUUCUAAUUCCUCCAUUUCUAUAGCCACUAACAGGUUGUGAUGAAGAGAAAUUGCCACUUUUCUUAGUUUUGGAAGCCUAUGUUCGACGAAAGAUUCCAUCUAAUCUAGUGAUCAAAGGGAGAUCUGAAGAAUUCUUGAAGGUUGGAAGGAUGUAUCAGAUUAGUCUACACCCUUAACAUAACUCCACAAUAGCGCAAAACAUGAAUUUGGAUUUUUUUUUGUAUAUUUUACAGUGAUGACAAUCAGGUUCUGUUCCAAUCAUCUUGCUUUUUUUACUUGUUGUUAGAAGCUUUUUACAUGUUUCUUGCCAAAAAAAUAUUUCAUUUUUUGUGGCCCCUGCCAUUUUCAAAUAAUACUUCAGAUUUGAUCGUGCACACUAUUUUGAGUAAUUAGGUGCAUAUAAGCACUCUUAGUUGAAAAGUCCUCAUCUUAGAUGAGGUUCCAUAUUACUUGGUCUUCUCCUAUAACUUCAUUAGGGGGAGGGACAACUGUGAUUUUGCUAAUAAUAUUUUAAGGAAAAAAUUGCUUAAUGCUCAUUAGAACCUAGUUACCAUCUUUAUUAAUAUAAUCACCUUCUAAUUCAAUUAUGUCUCUAUCAGCUGAGUUGUAGUUUUCAUUAGUUACCAUUAGUUACCAUGGCAUCAAGAUAUCUUCCAAGACUAGGUGUCUCUUGAAAUUCACAUUUUUGAAUGAUAUUUCUUUUAGUAUUCAUGUCCACAUUCUAUGAGAAAACAAUAGAAGUUUUCACAACAUUAAUCUUCAAGCCCGAGACCAUACAAAAGUUAUCAAGUUUAUCUUUCACCAUUUUAAUUUGCUCACUCAAUGCUUCUACAAAGAAAAUCAAAUUGUCCACAAACAGAAGAUGGGCUAUGCGAAGCCCAUGCCUUCCAGCUAUCAUUAGCUUACAUUUUUGUCUGUUAACACUGUCUUCUAUAAUUUGUGACAAUUUAUUUGUGGCAAUAAAAAAUAGGUAGGGAAAAUAGGAUCCCUUGUCUUGACCUCUUUGUAGGAAUAAAUUCUUCCGUUUUGCAACCAUUUCAUAAUAUCUUAAACGAUGUAGUGAAAACACAUUCCAUCAUGACCUUGAGAAUAUGCUUUGUCACACCAAACUCCUCUAAACUCUUAUGAAUAGAUUCCUAUCAUAAGUUGUCAUGUGUUUUUUCAAAAUCUAUUUUUAUUGCCAUGUAUUUGCAUUUUCCUUUUUCAUUUUCUACAUGUCAAAAAUUAUCUCUUUGACAAUUACUAUACUAUUGUGAAUAAUUCUUCCUAGGAUAAAACUAGCAUGCUAGGGAAUAAUCCUUUGGAUUAUGAUUGGCUUAAUUUUAGCAACCAUUAACUUCAAAAUACAUUUAUAGAACAUAUUGCAAAGCACGAUAGGUCUAAAUUCAUUGAUGAAUUUAGGUCGAUCAAUGAUGAGCGGAUAAUUUAUACGCUUUUUGGCAUUGUUUUUAGGUAGUUUUUAGUAAGUUCAAGCUACUUUUAGGGAUGUUUUCAUUAGUUUUUAUGUUAAAUUCACAUUUCUGGACUUUACUAUGAGUUUGUGUGUUUUUCUGUGAUUUCAGGUAAUUUCUGGCUGAAAUUGAGGGACUUGAGCAAAACUCUGAAAAAGACUGACAAAAGGACUGCUGAUGCUGUUGGAAUCUGACCUCCCUGCACUCGAAAUGGAUUUUCUGGAGCUACAGAACUCCAAUUGGCUCGCUCUCAACGGCGUUGGAAAGUAGACAUUCAGAGCUUUUCAGCAAUAUAUAAUAGUUUAUACUUUAUUCGGAAAUUGAUGAUGUAACUUGGCGUUGAACGCCAAGUACAUGCUGCUGUCUGGAGUUAAACGCCAGAAACACGUCAUGAUCCGGAGUUGAACGCCCAAAACACGUUAUAACUUGGCGUUCAACUCCAAGAAAAGUCUCAGCUCGUGGAUAGAUCAAGCUCAGCCCAAACAUACACCAAGUGGGCCCCAGAAGUGGAUUUAUGCAUUAAUUACUUACUCAUGUAAACCCUAGUAGCUAGUUUAGUAUAAAUAAGACUUUUUACUAUUGUAUUAGUCGUCUUUUGACCACGUUUCAUCUUUGGUCUCAGUUUUGUUUUAUUCUUCAUCUUAGGAGGCUAUUGAUCACGUUUUGGGGGCUGGCCAUUCGGCCAUUCCUGAACCUUUCACUUAUGUAUUUUCAACGGUGGAGUUUCUACACACCAUCGAUGAAGGAUGUGGAGCUCUGCUGUACCUCAAGUUUCAAUACAAUUACUAUUACUUUUUAUUCAA